GGCAGCGACCAUACCAUGUUGGAAACACUGGUUCUCACCAGAUCACCAAGGUCAAGCAACGGUGGACCCGGUUACCAAUCCGUGUAAACUUCACCUACGCACACACACUCGUGUCGUUUUUA
rnacentral:rRNA from 1 species